AUGGCGGACAAUCAAGAGGCUGGCCGUAAAAGGCCGAAAAUGUCCAAAGUUUGGGAACAUUUCCUAUUAAGAAAAGAGGACAACGUUGUGCAGUGUAUAUACUGCCUAACGGACCUGGCGUACCAUCACAGCACCUCAUCAAUGCUUCAACAUCUCACCAGAAAACAUCCGCACCUUAACAGUUCACCAAGCGUAGCCUCUACAAGACCCCAAGACCAUGGAGACCCCAUCCAGUCAGAGCUUCUGGCUGGGACCACCAUAUUCAGGACAAGGAUUCUGUCUCUCAUGGAGGCUUUUAUGGUGAGGACGACAUCAGAAAUAGUCUCCAUAUUUGACGAAAUUUAUAUGGGAGCAGAAACUAAGUUAAUGCAGAAGAGAAAGGAAGUGGAAGCCCUCACAGAGAGACUGAAGGAGCGCGAGCAAUUGUGUGCUCUGAAUGUGUGUCACAACCUGCCAGACGUCAAAGUGGAGAGAGGACAGGAGCUUUUGGAAAGUGUCCUGUUCUAUGGACAAUCCGUACCAGAAAUGACAGAGACUGUGGAGUUUCCCCUGGAGUGUGUGGUGCAGAAGGCAGAAGGACCAAUUAAGUCAGAACCGGUGGCGCUGCCAUGUGGAUUAAUAACGUAUCCAUCCAUCCAUGAUGAGGCGCUGCUGGGUGCUCCAGUCGGGGCAGCAGAGGGAGCUGAGAGCGCGGUCCCUCCUGUAGGGCAGCCACACCAAAUGAAGCAGGGAACAACACGCUCUGCUGCCACAGCAGGACAAGGCUCCAGCGUGGCUGCACAGGACUCUGCCAGUGUGAGGCAGAAUCUGGUACUCAAUGGUGCUCCGGAGUCAGACCAGGCAGCCCCUCCUGCUGUUCGACGCCGUGGUCGGCCUCCUGGUAGGAAGAACUUCAUCUCCUCUUCAUCACCAAACGCAAGUUCUUCCCAGGCCCUUCAAACUGAAGAUAAUGUAAAUGCAAUGGUGCUCACUAAAAAACAUAAAAAAAGAGUGCGGCUUACAGACUUUCGUACUUGGCAGGAGUUCAAAAAGCAGUGCAUGGUGUCAAGCUCUUCAAAUAUUUCCCCAUAUGAUCACUCCGCUGAGCAGGAGCCCCUGAGCAGAGCUGAUGAGGAGCUGCUGGGGUCUCCAGUUGAGGAAGAAGAGGGAGCUGAGAGCGCGCUCCCUCCUGUAGGGCAGCCACACCAAAUGAAGCAGGAAACAACACGCUCUGCUGCCACAGCAGGACAAGGCUUCAGCGUGAGGCAGAAUCUGGUAGCCAACGGUGCUCCAGAGUCAGACCAGGCAGCCCCUCCUGCCGGUCGACGCCGUGGUCGCUCUGCGGGUACGAGUUCAGUAUCUUUGUGUGCUCCAGGGACAACCCUUGACCUCAGAGGCCGCUCGGCUGCGGUGAGCACCAACAGCAGACCUCACGAGACUUUAGAGGGGCUGGAUAGCUUUCCGUGUGUGGAUGCACCUGGAACAAAAAGUCUACUGUCCCCGAGAAAAGAUUAUCCCUUUGUGGUCGUGACUAAGGAGGAGGAUACAGAUGAUUGUUUGUCUUCUGAAUCUGAGAUUGAAAAUCCUGCUGAUAUGGAUGUGAAAUACACUGCUGUCAUGAGGGAAACUGAGAACUCUAAAGCCAUUGAGAAUCCAGAAGAUGGGUAUCAACAGGGGGAAGAAGACAUGUCUCUAAAAAGAAGGUCUGCAGUGAAGAGUGAGAAGAUUCCAAGAAAAAAAACAAAGAAUGAAAAUUGAAAUGAUCGCUUUGGCCAGCAAUAUAUACAUUUCUGUAUAGUUGAAAAUGUGGUUGUCAGUUCCCCUCAUAUGUACCAAACGAUAAGAUGAUUUGUAUUUGUGCCUGGGUCCUGCAUUUGGCAUUUCUGUGGAAUUAGUCAUUUUCUUUUACUUGAAGGGCAGAUUUUCAUACAACUUCCCUGUUUCAGAGUGCAAACAUGAUGGGAAUGGGGCUCUGUAUCCCUUUUGAAAAAAAUUCUGCAAAAAAGAACUACAGCUGAUGUAAGUAAAAAAAUAAAGAUUAACACAGCUCAUUAUUUUGUUGCA
ensembl:lncRNA